UACGAAGGGUGCAAGCGUUACUCGGAAUUACUGGGCGUAAAGCGUGCGUAGGUGGUGAGUUAAGUCUGUCGUGAAAGCCCCGGGCUCAACCUGGGAAUGGCGAUGGAUACUGGCUCGCUAGAGUGCGGUAGAGGAGAGUGGAAUUCCCGGUGUAGCAGUGAAAUGCGUAGAUAUCAGGAGGAACACCGGUGGUGUAAACGGCUCUCUGGACCGCAACUGACGCUGAGACACGAAAGCGUGGGUAGCAAACAGG
rnacentral:rRNA from 1 species